CCGGGUGGCUAUUGUCACACUUUUAUUGUAUCUAUAGUACACAGUCCUGAGCUACGUACUGUUUCAUGCAAUGUCCUUGCUGCUCACUGGCACUGCAAUUUAACUAGUGUCAUUGUGUCUGCAAGCUGCUGCUCAACCAGUACUCUCUUCUCUAGUGGCUGGAGCUAAUACACUGUCCACAUUUUAGCAGUUUUAUACUAUAUCUUCAGUGCUUGCCUUAUGCUUUAAUAGGUGAAAUUUGCCUCCUUGAAAGACAGCAUGCAUAUUAAUACUACUAGCUAGUACAAAAGAAACUACGCAGUUUAUAUAACUGUAUGAUUUAUAAAAUGUUCUACCGUCUUACACUACUUUAUAUACUAAAAUACCAAUC